rnacentral:lncRNA from 1 species
AAUCCAAACAUGUAACAGGUUAAAAACAAGUGUAAUAAAAUAGCUGUCAUCAGCCAGAGGAGUGAUGAUGCAGGAAUUCUUAACUUACUGUUGGGAACGACUUGAUCAAUACCUCACAAUACUUGACAGUCCAUAACUGCAAAAACAAGGGUCAAGAUGCCAGAGCUCAGAGCUGAAGGCACUGCCUGUAGCUCAGAGUCAGACAGGAGUAAUGGAGAGAGGACCCGGUGUUCCAGUUAAUAGUCUGGAGUUGCAAUAACAGAAUUGGAAGGUGGGGGGUGUCAAGGAAUCUUAGGAGCCCAUGCCUUCCUGUUGCCUAGGCCAGGCUGAUACACAAGGCUGCCUGGUCUCUUCCGAAGUCCACCGACAUGUUGAACAGACAGGAUCGAGAGCAGUUUAUAUGGAACAUUGCUUGAUAGAUCUCUCUGAUGCCAUUGACCUGUGGCUGUACUCCUCUAACAGAACAUGGCUAACAGCAUCCUGUUCUGGCCACUGGCUGUUAAUUUGAGACACGUUGCUUAAUGAAAAUACAAGGUAUGGAAAUGUGCAAGACACAUUGCUUUAUUAAUAUUAUUGUGAUGAUGAUGAUGAUGAUGAUGAUGAUGAUGACAGAAUAAUUCAGACAUCAUAAAAUUCACCAUUUUGAGUAUAAUUCAGUGACCAUAAGUCUAUUUACAAGGUUGUGAAACCAUCACCACUAUCUAAUUCCUGAGUAUUUUUAUUACCUCAAAAAAGCAAGCCUAAAGUACCUGUUGGCAGUCACUCCCUGUUCCUUACCUUCUCCCAGCCCUUGGCCAUCACUUAUCUAAUUUCUUUCCGUACGGAUUUGCCUAUUAG